CAGUAGCCGCGGUAAUACGUAGGGUGCAAGCGUUAAUCGGAAUUACUGGGCGUAAAGCGUGCGCAGGCGGUUUGUUAAGACAGAUGUGAAAUCCCCGGGCUCAACCUGGGAACUGCGUUUGUGACUGGCAGGCUAGAGUGUGGCAGAGGGGGGUGGAAUUCCGCGUGUAGCAGUGAAAUGCGUAGAUAUGCGGAGGAACACCGAUGGCGAAGGCAGCCCCCUGGGCCAACACUGACGCUCAUGCACGAAAGCGUGGGGAGCAAACAGGAUUAGAUACCCGUGUAGUCCCUGUCUCUUAUAC
rnacentral:rRNA from 1 species